rnacentral:rRNA from 1 species
GAUGAACGCUGGCGGCGUGCCUAAUACAUGCAAGUCGAGCGAACAGACGAGGAGCUUAUUCCUCUGACGUUAGCGGCGGACGGGUGAGUAACACGUGGAGAACCUACCUAUAAGACUGGGAUAACUUCGGGAAACCGGAGCUAAUACCGGAUAAAAUGUUGAACCGCAUGGUUCAACAGUGAAAGAUGCACUUGCUGUCCCUUAUAAAUGGAUCCGCUUCGCAUUAGUAAGUUGGUAAGGAAACGGCUUACCAAGGCAACGAAGCGAGGCCGACCGGAAGGGGGGAUCGGCAACACGGGAACGGGAACAGGGUCCAGACUCCUACGGGAGGCAGCGGUAGGGAAUCUUCCGCAAGGGGCGAAGGCCGGACGGGGCAACGCCGCGUGAGUGAGGAGGGUCUUGGGAUCUUAAAACUCUGUGAUUAAGGAAAAACAAAGUGGUAAGUAACUAUGCACGUCUUGACGGUACCUAAUCAGAAAGCCACGGCUAACUACGUG